rnacentral:rRNA from 1 species
CCUACGGGAGGCAGCAGUGAGGAAUAAUGGACAAUGGGCGCGAGCCUGAACCAGCGAAGUAGCGUGAAGGAUGACUGCCCUACGGGUUGUAAACUUCUUUUAUAAAGGAAUAAAGUGAGGAACGUGUGCCUUUUUGUAUGUACUUUAUGAAUAAGGAUCGGCUAACUGCGUGACAGCAGCCGCGGUAAUACGGAGGAUUCGAGCGUUAUCCGGAUUUAUUGGGUUUAAAUGGAGCGUAGAUGGGUUGUUAAGUCAGUUGUGAAAGUUUGCGGCUCAACCGUAAAAUUGCAAUUGAUACUGGCAGUCUUGAGUACAGGUGAGGUAGGCGGAAUUCGUGGUGUAGCGGUGAAAUGCUUAGAUAUCGCGAAGAACUCCGAUGGCGAAGGCAGCUUACUAAACUUCCACUGACAUUGAUGCUCGAAAGUGUGGGUAUCAAACAGGAGUAGAUACCCUUGUAGUC